rnacentral:rRNA from 1 species
CCCAAGGGUUCGGCUGUUCGCCGAUUAAAGUGGCACGCGAGCUGGGUUCAGAACGUCGCGAGACAGUUCGGUCCCUAUCUGUUGUGGGCGUUGGAAAUUUGAGUGGGGCUGACCUUAGUACGAGAGGACCGGGUUGGACUGACCUCUAGUGAAUCUGUUGUUCCGCCAGGGGCAUUGCAGAGUAGCUAUGUCGGGAAUAGAUAAGCGCUGAAAGCAUCUAAGUGCGAAACUAGCCACAAGAUGAGAUUUCCAUUGAGGAUCGUCGAAGACUACGACGUUGAUAGGUUAUAGAUGUAAAGCGUGUGAGCGCAAAGUCGAGUAAUACUAAUUAUCCGAUACUUUCAGCAAA